GACGAACGCUGGCGGCAUGCCUAACACAUGCAAGUCGAACGGAGAUUAUUUCGGUAAUCUUAGUGGCGAACGGGUGAGUAACGCGUGGGCAACCUGCCCUCUAGAUGGGGACAACAUCCCGCAAGGGGUGCUAAUACCGAAUGUGACAGCAAUCUCGCAUGAGGAUGCUGUGAAAGAUGGCCUCUAUUUAUAAGCUAUCGCUAGAGGAUUGGCCUGCGUCUGAUUAGCUAGUUGGUGGGGUAACGGCCUACCAAGGCGAUGAUCAGUAGCCGGUCUGAGAGGAUGAACGGCCACAUUGGGACUGAGACACGGCCCAGACUCCUACGGGAGGCAGCAGUGGGGAAUCUUCCGCAAUGGGCGAAAGCCUGACGGAGCAAUGCCGCGUGAGUGAUGAAGGAAUUCGUUCCGUAAAGCUCUUUUGUUUAUGACGAAUGUGCAGAUUGUGAACAAUGAUCUGUAAUGACGGUAGUAAACGAAUAAGCCACGGCUAACUACGUG
rnacentral:rRNA from 1 species